GAGCGCCCGUAGCAAUACGGGAGCGGCAGACGGGAGAGUAACACGUGGGAACGUACCCUUCGGUUCGGAAUAACCCAGGGAAACUUGGGCUAAUACCGGAUACGUCCGUAAGGAGAAAGAUUUAUCGCCGAAGGAUCGGCCCGCGUCUGAUUAGCUUGUUGGUGAGGUAACGGCUCACCAAGGCGACGAUCAGUAGCUGGUCUGAGAGGAUGAUCAGCCUCACUGGGACUGAGACACGGCCCAGACUCCUACGGGAGGCAGCAGUGGGGAAUAUUGGACAAUGGGCGCAAGCCUGAUCCAGCCAUGCCGCGUGGGUGAUGAAGGCCCUAGGGUUGUAAAGCCCUUUCGGCGGGGAAGAUAAUGACGGUACCCGCAGAAGAAGCCCCGGCUAACUUCGUG
rnacentral:rRNA from 1 species